GCGGCCGUGGCGGCUGCCUCAGGGCGGCGCUGCGUGGCGCAGCUCCCGUGCGGCUGCUGAAGCGGCUAAAUGGCCUGCUGCCCAGGUCUCUGCCUGAGGAAAUUGCUCUGCCGCCCCGCGGACGACCUUGUCGGUGGCGUCACUCGUUGGUGCUUGUGGCUUUUCUUUUGCCAAGGAGUAUAAACCUACACUGACAUAGCAAAUGAUGUAUUCAUUUACAAACCCUUUUGGAAGGAAAGCAUAUAACAUGAUUUCUGGAAUGCAGUUUUUAUCCCAGAUGGGAUUGGAGAUCCUGAUGCUGGCUGAGUUUCUGCAGGGACAGCAGAGAAGAUGCGGGAGACAGGAGACAUUGUCCAGAUGCAGCACAAGCUACUGCAGAUCCACUGAUUGUUGGAGCAGCUUCUUACAUUUUUCUUCCUAGAUUUGCUUUGCAAAGACUUCAACAGCCAACCCUCAAAAUUUGCUACAGAGAGGACUUUAAGACCAGAAGCAGACAUGUUUCCAAAUAACAGCAAAUUAAGCUCUCUAGAGACUCACAAAUUCACUGCCGUUUCUCGUGAAGUAAAGAGCAGAGCAUGGUAAGCAGG
rnacentral:lncRNA from 1 species